rnacentral:misc_RNA from 1 species
AUUUGCCCGCUUGCCCUCCGGCAUUGUGGGGUGUGGUUCGUUUAGAGGCGUUGGGUCCAGCGCACGUGCGGGCGCAUGAGUGGUAAUGGGAUUGUUUUUGUCGGCUGGCUCCGUGCUCGCGCAUCGAACGGUUGACAUGCUCUCCCCCUCAUUGACACCGAUCUGCCUCCGCGGCAUCGGUGCUUGUUGCCGGUUCCUGUGUUGCGUACCUACUUGAUGGUAUUUGCUGGGCUGUCGAGACACGUUCCACCCAGCCCAUUUUCUGGGGGAUUCCUAAGAAACGCUUGCUGCCGGCGUUGGCCUUGUGGUGCUUCCUCACUGGCUCCCUUCGGCACGCUUGCUUUUGCUGAUCUCUCGGAUACGGUGUAUGCUGUGAACGCGGGUUUGGUGUCCCGUGUUGUUCCUCUAAAAUCGGUUGCCUCGAAUGACGGUUGCCUUGGCGGAGGUUCUGUUCACCUUCACUGUGUGGCAGCACUUGCGCCAAUGGCGAAGUUAGUAACGGAUGCUACCUG